rnacentral:misc_RNA from 1 species
CCCUAGCCCUGAUAGGAAUGGUUACCCCACAGCACGCAGUGGAAUGAUGAUGGAUCCAAGCGGUGGGGAGCCUGGGAGCGAGGAGUAAAAAUGGAGAGCAGGAAAAAGC